CUGUAAUGAUGACCACUUAGGACACCUUUGGAUUAAUGAUGAAAAGAUGUACUUUUCUGAGCAGC